ACUACACCAAGAGGCCUUGCAGGCGUGGCUGCUGUGUCACAAUUGUGUCAGUCAGUGGCAGAGAGAAGAGAGCCUGUGUCUGUGCUGUGAUUUCACCCAUGAACAUUUGAAUGAUUAGGAGCCUGAUACU
rnacentral:snoRNA from 1 species